rnacentral:rRNA from 1 species
AUUGAACGCUGGCGGCAUGCCUUACACAUGCAAGUCGAACGGCAGCACGGGAGCAAUCCUGGUGGCGAGUGGCGAACGGGUGAGUAAAGUAUCGGAACGUGCCCAGUCGUGGGGGAUAACGUAGCGAAAGUUACGCUAAUACCGCAUACGAUCUAUGGAUGAAAGCGGGGGAUCGCAAGACCUCGCGCGAUUGGAGCGGCCGAUAUCAGAUUAGGUAGUUGGUGGGGUAAAGGCUCACCAAGCCGAAGAUCUGUAGCUGGUCUGAGAGGACGACCAGCCACACUGGGACUGAGACACGGCCCAGACUCCUACGGGAGGCAGCAGUGGGGAAUUUUGGACAAUGGGCGAAAGCCUGAUCCAGCCAUGCCGCGUGCAGGAUGAAGGCCUUCGGGUUGUAAACUGCUUUUGUACGGAACGAAAAGGUUUGGGCUAAUAAGCUGAGCUCAUGACGGUACCGUAAGAAUAAGCACCGGCUAACUACGUGCCAGCAGCCGCCGCGG